rnacentral:ncRNA from 1 species
AACUUUGUCAUGAUUAAAGUAUAAUAGAAGCUAAACUUAGCAUGGUAAUUUAAGUGAACCUUUAGAUUAACCCAGCAAGAAGUAUUAAACCAAAUUAGAAAUAAUGAUUUAAUUACAGUUCCUUAAGGCUUGACUAAUUAGGUGCCAGCAGUCGCGGUCAUACCUAGAAGCCAGUUAUACACCUCAAGCUAGCUAAUGAAAAAGAUUUAUAAUAAAGUAAAAUUUGUAUACAUCGAAAACUCAAAAAGUAAUGCAAUAAUUCUAGUAGUAGACCAGGAUUAGAUACCCUGUUAUAUAGAACAAAAAUUUUAAGCUUUAGCACUAAAACUAAAUAGUUAAAACUAAAAUGACAUGGCGGCAGCUUCAACUUUCAGGGGAACUUACCAGAUAAAUGAUAACCCCCAAUAGGACACAACUUCAUCUAAAAGCUUGUAUAUCGUCGUCUUCAGAGCCCACUUAAGGUGAACUCAGAAUGUUUAAAUAAACAAAAAGACAGAUCAAGAUGCAGCCAAUGAUCAAGACAGUAAGGUGAGUUACAAUAAUUAGAAUUUUGGAAUUAGUUUAAAAACUGCUAAAGAAACCGGACUUGAAAGUAAAAUUUUUAAAAGCUUUAAUUUGAAUUAUCAAAAAGCUGUGCACAAAUCGCCCGUCACUCUCGUUGAAAAAGGAGAUAAGUCGUAACACAGUAAGUGUACCGGAAGGUGCACUUG